ACACACACACACACACACCGGCGUACUGGAACCUCUCUCGCGAUCCCGCACCCAGCUUGAAUUCAGCAAGAAUCGAAAACAGGUGUGCCCCCGUGGGGCGGUUCGAAGAUGGCCGAAUAGGAACAGCUCCAGUCUGCAGCUCCCAGCUUGAGCGACACAGAAGACGGGUGAUUCCUGCAUUUCCAACUGAGUGAGCCGCACUCCUGGAACAAGCUUCCCUUGAAGUUCACCCUCUGAGCGCCACGGCCCCUCUCCAGCCUGCAUUCCACUGUAAGGUUGAGAAAUAUCUGAUUGUUAGUGAUGAGAGAGAAAACCUAGCCUCAUUCUCUGGUGGCCUGUCUUGCAAAAGAGAGAUGAAAUCAAACCUGGCUUCCUGAGAUUCCAAAUCACAAACAUCACAUACUAGUUUUUUUUUUUAAUAAAAUCAUGGGGCCAGAUGUGGUAGCUCACACCUGUAAUACCAGCACUUUGGGAGGCUGAGGCAGAACAAUCACUUGAGGCCAGGAGUUCAAGACCAGCCUGGAAAACAAAGGGAAACGCACUUCUACAAAAAAUUUAAAAAUUAGUCACAUGUGGUAGCAUGAACUUGUAGUUCCAGCUACUUGGGAGGCUGGGGCAGGAGGAUCGCUUGAGCCCAGGAGCUGGAGGCUACAAUGAGCCAGGAUUGCACUACUGCACUCCAGCCUGGGUGACAGAGGGAGACCUUGUCUAAAUAAAUAUCAUAGAAAGGUGGGGAACUCACUCAGAGUGUC
rnacentral:lncRNA from 1 species